rnacentral:rRNA from 1 species
CUACGGGGCGCAGCAGCGAGGAAUAUUGCACAAUGGGGGGAACCCUGAUGCAGCAACGCCGCGUGGAGGAUGACGCAUUUCGGUGUGUAAACUCCUUUUAUAUGUCAAGAAAAUGACGGUAGCAUAUGAAUAAGCACCGGCUAACUCCGUGCCAGCAGCCGCGGUAAUACGGAGGGUGCAAGCGUUACUCGGAAUCACUGGGCGUAAAGGACGCGUAGGCGGGUUGGAAAGUCAGGUGUGAAAUCCUACAGCUUAACUGUAGAACUGCACUUGAAACUUCUAAUCUAGAGUAUGGGAGGGGGAGAUGGAAUUAGUGGUGUAGGGGUAAAAUCCGUAGAUAUCACUAGGAACACCUAAAGCGAAGGCGAUCUCCUGGAACAUUACUGACGCUAAGGCGUGAAAGCGUGGGGAGCAAACAGGAUUAGAUACCCUAGUAGUC